UGAAUUAGUUGUUAUUGUUGA
ensembl:piRNA 21ur-668 ncRNA